GUUAUGGCUGUCGUCAGCUCGUGUUGUGAAAUGUUGGGUUAAGUCCCGUAACGAGCGCAACCCUUGUCCUUAGUUACCAUCAUUAAGUUGGGGACUCUAAGGAGACUGCCGGUGACAAACCGGAGGAAGGCGGGGACGACGUCAAGUCAUCAUGGCCCUUACGAGUAGGGCUACACACGUGCUACAAUGGCCAGUACAGAGGGUUGCAAUACCGCGAGGUGGAGCUAAUCCCACAAAGCUGGUCGUAGUCCGGAUUGGAGUCUGCAUCGACUCCAUGAAGUCGGAAUCGCUGGAAUCGUGAAUCAGAAUGUC
rnacentral:rRNA from 1 species